UGCAUAGGAAUCUACCUAGUAGUAUGGAAUAGCUGUUAGAAAUGACAGGUAAUACCGUAUAAUCCCUGCGGGGGAAAGAUUUAUCGCUAUUAGAUGAGCCUAUGUUAGAUUAGCUAGUUGGUAAGGUAAUGGCUUACCAAGGCUAUGAUCUAUAGCUGGUCUGAGAGGACGAUCAGCCACACUGGAACUGAGAUACGGUCCAGACUCCUACGGGAGGCAGCAGUGGGGAAUAUUGGACAAUGGGCGCAAGCCUGAUCCAGCUAUGCCGCAUGAGUGAAGAAGGCCUUAGGGUUGUAAAGCUCUUUCAGCAGGGAAGAUAAUGACGGUACCUGCAGAAGAAGUCCCGGCAAACUCCGUGCCAGCAGCCGCGGUAAUACGGAGGGGGCAAGCGUUGUUCGGAAUUAUUGGGCGUAAAGGGCAUGUAGGCGGUUUAAUAAGUUAAAAGUGAAAUACCAGGGCUUAACCUUGGAGCUGCUUUUAAUACUGUUAAACUAGAGAUCGAGAGAGGAUAGUGGAAUUCCUAGUGUAGAGGGAAAUUUCCGUUAGGAUAUAGGA
rnacentral:rRNA from 1 species